CGACCGGGUGAGUAAGACGUAGACGACCGACCAUCAAGUGGGGGAACAACUGGCCGAAAGGACAGCUAAUACCGCAUACGGUUCAUGAAUCAGUUCAUGAAAGAAAGCUGAAAAGCGCUGGAUGGAGGGUCUGCGGCCUAUCAGGUAGUUGGCGGGGUAACGGCCCACCAAGCUAAUGACGGGUAGGGGGUGUGAGAGCAUGACCCCCCACACUGGCACUGAGAACGGGCCAG
rnacentral:rRNA from 1 species